GACGAAGGAUGCAAGCGUUAUCCGGAUUCAUUGGGUUUAAAGGGAGCCUAGGUGGACUGAUAAGUCAGUGGUGAAAUCUUUGGGCUUAACCCAAAAAUUGCCAUUGAUACUGUUGGUCUUGAGUAUAGUUGCCGUUGGCGGAAUAUGACAUGUAGUGGUGAAAUACAUAGAGAUGUCAUAGAACACCGAUUGCGAAGGCAGCUGACGAAACUAUAACUGACACUGAGGCUCGAAAGUGUGGGGAUCAAACAGG
rnacentral:rRNA from 1 species